rnacentral:misc_RNA from 1 species
AGCUAAAGGACGUGGCGGACAACGGGUAGAACUCCCCUCCUACCCCCUCCUCACCCCCCUCAACCCCGAAAACAGAAAAGAAGUAACGGCAACACGCUCGAGACCGUCUCUCAGGCAUUUGGCGAACUGGCACGCACAUGUGUAGUCGAACCCAUAAAAACACCAGAAAACGGACGAACAGAGACACUCUGCCCCCCCCCUCCUGCCCCUUCAGGCACGUGCGCAGGCAUAGAAGCAUAUGGUUCUCGGAAAAAGCAAGGGGAGACUCGACGGUAUCCCUCCGGCUCGUCAUCCACACUCACUCCUCCUCCCUACACCAUCCCCGGCGCCGUUCUCACGCACGCGCAGCAAGAGGAAGACACGAUUGAGCGCUGUCGCCAAGCGCUAGAUCUGUGGCUGCUCACCAACGCCUGUGCAGGACUGCUAGUAAAACGAGCGCGCGCCGCUUCGUUCGCGAGGCUUCCACUAGCGCACGCGUCUAUCUGUGCAUGUGCGUGGGCGUGAGUGCGCGAACGGGUGUGUGAGGCACACGGAGGAACUGCAGCUGUUGGUGAGUACAUAUCCGUUGAGGCGAGCGUUACUCGGCUCGCUUACUUACCCCCGCUCUCUCUCUCUCUCACGCGUGCGUGAAGCGCAGCACACACGCGCAUGAGCAUCCAUCUAGUAUCAUUCUCUCUCUCUUCUCCUGCCAACCCAGCGCCCUCGGCCUUUCUCUUCCCUCUGCCUCCGCACUCGUCCAUCACGAGUGCGUGUCUGCGCGGCCGUUACGGCGGCGGGCAAAGGUGUAGGAACAGCGGCUCCUUCUCUGGCACACACACGCACGCACACGGGCACUGGCUCUCCUGUGUGCGUUGCUUGCCGCCCUGUGCAGAGUGGAAGGUGUAUUUUUGUUGGCUGCCUUCAUCCCAUUUUGUGUUGUGUGUUGUGUUGAUCAAGACAACAUUUUCCGCCUUCUCUCCCGUCGCUGUGGUUUCCUUUCAUCAAGUGCGCCCUGGCGCCCUGCCCCUGUGCUUGUGCUCUUUCUUCUCUGUGUGUCUUGCCAAACGCGUGUGCCUGCCUGCCACCUUGCUCCCCUCCCCCGCCGCCGCUACCGCCGCCGCUUCCCCACCAUCCCGUGCAUCGUCGCAACGAGUGUGCGAGAGAGAGCGAGCGAAGAAACAUCGUCGCUUACGUGAUUCUCCUUUCCCGUGCUUGUGCUCUGUGCCCUCUUCUCCAGUUUUCUCUGCACAGCAUUGCGCGAAAGCAGCCGUGAUUCUCUGAGGCGCGGCGACUGGUGUCCGCAUUCUUGCUCCCUCUGUGUGCGUGUGUGUGCGGUGUCGUGUUGUCUUGCGUUUGUUGCGUUCUUCUUCUCCCGCCUUCCCCCUCCGCCGGCACGAGAGCAGCCGUGAAGUGACGCUUCUGCCCAUACGCAGCACUGUCAACGUCUCCCUCACCUCGUCACUGCGGGCAACGUGAACUGCGCCGUGAACGUGCAUAAGCAAGCACAGCGAUGGACCCUGCAGGACGUCGCCUCAGUGGAGAGCAGCAGCAGCAGCAGCAGCCGGCGGACAGGGCGAAGGCCGACGCUGACCGUGGCACGGUUGAUAUGUUGCCGCCGCUGCGUACGGAGGCGUCGCCGUUCGAGCAGGCAAGUGCGAUCACGAACAGGAGUAGCGCAGCCUCUGCGCCGCUUUCCGUAGCAGUGAAGGUCAUCCCCACGCUCGCGGCGGCUAUGUCAAGCUUGCGCGCUGGCGAUGACAACGACGGCGGCGGUGAGAAUGAGGGAGAGGAGGAGCCGUUCCUCACCAACGGCUCCAUCGCGCUGGCCGAGUUCACGAGCCUGCUGAAACCAGCAGAGAACAACAUCAUCCUCAAGGAGCACAUCAUCCACCUGCUUCGCGAUGUGGACGCCGAGGAAACGCUGAUGCGUAUCGCUCGCGCGUUGGAGGCGCAAGGGACGAACGAGACGCCGGUGAAUGUCAGUGCCACGACGUGUACGGGGUCGUCGCGCGACGUAGCAUCGUACACAAACGCAUCGCAGAGCACGGUGGCCUCGAUGAGCACGAUGCAGCGUCGGCGUUCGAGCGCCGUGUCGCGCCGAGAUGCCACCAGCCUCGAGACGCUCGCCGGUCUCUCCUUUCUGCACUCGCGGCGAGGCGCGACGUCGCCCAGUGCGCAAGAGUCCCCAUCGUCAGCGCAGCCGUCGGAGGAUGUGGCCCCGUACAACAGAUCCACGCGCGGCCUCGUUGGGCCAUUGGACACCUCCUUCAACUCCCGCUCGUCUCUCGGCACGCGCGAGGAGGAGCAGCGGCAAUCAAAGCAGCAGGACGACCCUCUGUCGGCCUUCAUGGCGGCCAGCGCCUCCCAGCUCAGCGACGCGACCCCCACGCUGCGCGAAUCGCCGGGACUUCCAACUGGCAGUCAAUGCCGAGGUCGGCGUGUCGCGGUAUCGGCGGCGCCAUGCAUGGCGCCGCCGAUGAUCGGCGAAGAUUCGCCGGCUACGGCGCUGCCGCCGCUGCGCGUUGUGCCCAAGACCUCGGCGGAAGAGCAGCAGCUGCGGCGACUACUGCGCCGCUGCCACAGCUUCUCCUCUCUCGAGGCAGACACCCUGGAGAGCGUCCUAAAGGCGAUGGACAAGGAGGUGCAUGCGGCCGGCGCGGCCAUCUUGGAGCAGGGUCAAGCGACGACGGAGAAGCUCUACCUCGUCGGCGAGGGCACGUGCGAAGCCAUCAAGAACGGCAAGUCGCUCGGCCCGCUGCAGCCGGGCGGGACCUUUGGCGAGUUGGAGCUCAUGUACAAGCAGGCCAUGUGCGCCGCAACUGUCCGGUGCGUGACACGGUGCGUGCUCUACACGCUGGAUGAGGCGAGCUACCACCGCGCUGUCAUGACGAGCGCGCUGCAGAAGCGGCGCAAGUUUGAGAAGCUGACGAUGAGCGUGCCUUUCCUGCGGUGCUUGCCGGACUUUGAGCGCAUGAAGAUUGCCGAGGCGCUUGAGACGCGGGUGUACCAGCGCGGCAAGACGAUCAUCCGCUUCGGAUCGCCUGGGAACUACAUGCACUUUAUCAUUGAGGGUGAGGUGAAGGUGGUUGGGCGGAACAGUGGCCGCCGAGUCGAGGUGGUGCGCCUGCGCGACGGCGACGUCGUCGGCGAGCUCGAGUUCCUCUUCAACCACCUCACCGUGGCAGAUGUUGUAGCGACGUCGCGCGAGGUUCGGACGGCGUGCAUCAGCCGCGAGCACUUCGAGCUUAUUAUUGGGCCUAUACAAGACCGCCUGAAGGAGUUUGUCGCCACCUCGUCCACCUACGAAAAGUAUUACGUCGCCGAGGUGGCGGACGAGAGCGUGCGCACCGAGCUCAACCGCAUCGAGUCGUCGCGCAAGCAUCGCCGCGUUGCCUCGCGCGAUCAGCGGACAGCGAUCGGGGACAUUGAUCCGCACGGAGAGGUGCUGCUAAGUGCGCCGCUGCCGCUACUCCACGGCAAGUGUGAUACUGCCGGCAAAGCUGGUGGUGUUAGUGGUGUUGUCGCCAACAGCGAUUCGGCCGCCGGGAACGGCGCCAACGCGCAGGGGCAACGCAGGGCGGCAGCGCGGGGAUCGGCCGAGCUGCCCAAGGCGAUGCUGCGGUUUCCGUUUGCACCGAUCACGGGCAAGGAUGUGGCCGUGUUGGCCCUUCGCGAGGAUGGCCUCAUCAUGUACUGGAACUCCGUGCUGGAGAGGCUGACGAGCUACUCGGCGGGGGAAGCGGUGGGGCAGAAUAUUUACUCCUUCCUUCUCUCGGAGCGGGAGCAGCAGUGCAUGUACAAGGCUGUCAACGCCGCACGCAACUACGCCGGCGAGGCGGAGGCAUUUUUGAAGCGGCCGAGCACCAAGUCGAUCCAGUUCACGCUCGCCCGCAGCGACGGUCUCACGAAGACGACCGUCCGGCUCACGAUUGUUCCGCCUGUCGUGUCGGCCGGCGGCAACGCGGCGGAGGUGGUGCUGGGCUUCGGCGAGGAGGUCAAAGAGGGGCCACAGAAGAUGUUGGAGCAGCCGCAGUGGCUCUCUGGCCAAAUUCGCGCCAUUCUGGCGGAUGGCACGCAGACUUUCGAGGAGCGGCUGGAGUGCAUCGCGGAGACUCUCAACAACUUCGAGUCCACCUACCGCGCCAUGACGGUGUCAACGGAGCGGCUGCGUGUGGUCAACAUCCGGCAAAUGAUGGGACACAUCCUCAUGGACUUUGGCAGCGAGUGCGUGAGCCGCGGCAUUUCCGUGCGGCAGCGCUUCGAAGGGCUCCCGUCAGAGCGUGCCUACCUGGACGCCAACUUGUUGCCGGAGUGUCUGCGCUACGCCAUGAAGCUGUGUCUCAAGUACAGCGACCCCGGCGGCAGCAUCAUCACCAUCAUGAUCACUGUCACAGAGAAAAACGGGCUUGAGUUUCUGGUGAUCAACUUCAACCUGACCGGCGACGGCAUGCCGAAGGCGAUCGCGCAGUUCUUCGACUCGCCGCUGAAGAAGCACGGCGACUCCGUCACCACAAUGAGCGUCGACGACGACAGCGGCGACGACAGCGACAACGACGCGGAGGCGUCAAUGGCGCUGCGAAGCACCCUGCAGCCUCGGCUGCGGCGCAAGCUGCGCCGCGUCCAGCGCGCCGUCGAGGACCAGGGCGGCACGCUGCGCAUGCUCCGCAACCCGCAAGACUCGAACAUCGCCUUUCUCAUCCCCUUUAUGCCGGCGAGCGAGCAGGACGCCGAGAAUGCCUCCAUAGAAGAGUCGCUUAGCACCUUGGCCGACUCCGCCGGCGCAGGUCAGCUGGCAUCGCUGGCGGGGAUGAGCAGCGGUGUCGGACCUCCCACCUCUGUAGCCGCAGCAGCUGCUGCCUUUAGUGUGUCGCUUGUGAACACCCCCGCGGGCGAGAGCAGUGGGCUGUCGAACAUGUCGGUGGCCGGGACCGUCGCCACGGUGUCUGGGCAACCGAACUUCAGCUACACCACCUGCCUCGCCGAGGACACGCCGACUCACCGCAUUAUGCUGUCUUCAUUUUUGUGGGAGCGCCACCACGCUGUGCUGACUGCCUUCACCUUCGAGGACAUCGUGGGCCUCGUCGGGGUCGCCGAUAUUCUCAUCAUUGACCUGCAGCAGUCCGCCAUCACCUUCCUGCACGAGCGCGACCCCAUCACGCGGCUGCGCGAGAUGCUGCGGCACAUGGCCGUCAUCAUCACCUCCACGAACUUCGACCUCGUCAGCAGCGACACGUAUGCGGCGGCCGGCUUCAUCACGCUAAAGAAGCCAUGCACCCCAGUCCAGGCCAUGAAGGCGAUCCGUCGCGCAGAGGAGAAGUCGGCCGUCGUGAAGCUGGAAAGACUGCGCAUUGAGCAGACACGUGAGACGCUGGCGCGCAACAGCCGCGGUGCCUGGCGUCACGGCGCCCUCCUCGGGAAAGGGUCUUCUGGGGAGGUGUAUGAGGCGUACGAUGUGCUGACGGGCGGCAAGAUGGCCGUGAAGGAGAUGCGGCUGGGCAAUAACGACGCGAAGAUUGAGCAGUUUGUGCAGGAGAUCAGCACGAUGUGCAACCUGCAGCACCCCAACAUCAUCCACUACUUCUACUGCGAGGAGAGCAAGGAGCAGAAGGUGAUUCGGGUGUUUAUGGAGUUCGCCGGCGGCGGCACACUGCAGUCGCUCCUCAAAACAAAGGGCCGGCUCGAGUACGCGGAGCUUCGGGCGCUGCUACGAGACGUAGUGGAGGGGCUUGCGUACAUACACUCGCAGCACUACGUCCACGGUGACAUCAAGACAGCCAACGUGCUGCUGAGCAAUGAUGGCAAGGGCAAGAUCGGUGACUUUGGCACGGCGCGGACGGUGAACGAGGGGGAGCUGCUGUACGUGAUGCAAGGCAGUCCGCUCUACAUGUCGCCCGAGUGCAUGUCGGCCGGGGAAGAGGACGAGGAUGGCAACAAAAUCGGCUACAGUUUUCCUUCCGACAUCUGGUCACUCGGCUGUGUCGCGAUGGAGAUGGCAACGAACAAGCCGCCCUUUGCGCACAUCAAGACGAUUAAGGGGCCCGCCGGCUUGACAACCUUUAUCACGUCGCUGACGGACGUCCCCGACCUGUCGCCGCUCUUCAAAUGUCACCCCUCCAUCGUGGAGUUCGUCUCCGCGUGCCUGAACCCCGACCCAAGCCAGCGUGCUACUGCGCAGGAUCUGCUGCAGAUGAGCCUCUUUAGUGAUUCGACGCAUAGCGACCGCAACUCCGCCGUGAUGGCGCUGAAGCGGGCGCAGCUGCUGCACGUGCUGAACAAGUUUGUCGCCUUCCAGGAGCCCGAAGAGGCAGAAAAGCUAGAGAAGCGGCGUAACCGCCUCAAGGUGAGUCGGCUCGCCUCUGACUUCUUCAGCUCCAGAAGCAGCUCCAGCGACAACGCGAGCGAACCGAUGUCGACGGUCUUCUUGAACGCGGCGCCUGCAGCGGAGGUCGAGGAGGCAACUCGCGAAAAGCGGCGCCCGGGUGCAGCAGUCACAACAGCGGCAGCGGCAACCGCAGCGGUAGCGGCGGGAAACGAGGACGAGUCCGACAAGGACGUCACACGACGCAGCGGCACAGUGGCGCUGGCCGCGGGCGGCACCUCCGAGAGCCCCGAUGGCGCGAGGCCUGCCGGGGCAAGCGCGGGGGCGCCACUCGUCAACACAGUCACCUCCACGGACGGCAGCUUGAAUCAAGCGGCAUCGACCUUCACGCGCUACCUGCGCAAGUGGGACUUCUCCACGAGCUCAUCCUCGUCGUCUUCACAGCUGAGUGCAAAUUCGAAGGCAAUGACGGCCGCGGGUGGCGAAGGUGCGCACCGCGACCCCGUCACAGGCGUCGCUGGCGGAAACGACGAGGCCGAGCCGGACGCGCGCAACCCACAAACGGAGGGCGCGUAUGACCUCUCCCCGACCCCGAAGAAGCGCUCCAAGACGCGGUCGCGUCCGCGAGCAACACUGACACCGCCAAUGCGGAAGCCCUCGCAUCAGCGAUGCUGCCCCGACAGCACCACCACCACCACAAACAGUGCCGAGAAAGACUUCUUCGCGACGUCGUCGGAUAACAGCAGCAGCAGCAGCAGCAGUGGCCGCGCGCUUAACGAGGCCGACGCACGCAGCGAGGCGCCCGCGCAUCAAGGCGGCACUGCACGGUUGACGGGCACUGCCACGACAGCUCGCAAGGGGCCACGGCCAACUGGCAGCGAGGCCGUUGGCUAUACCCCCAGCUUUCCUGGUCGGCGCCGCAACGUGCGGCUGGAUGAGGCCGGCAACAUCGUGCCGUUUGAUCGGCUUUCGAGCAUGAUGAGUGUGGCGGCGCUGCUGAACAACAAGGGCGAACAGCACGGAGACGACGCUUCCGCUGAAGGCAGCCCUGGAGUUGCCGCAGCGGCGGCGACCGAAGCCACCGCCGCCUCGCGCGCGCCGUUCCCCGCCCUUGGUGACGCGAACGAUCACGUGUUGAGCCCCAGCAGUGCCGCAGGCCUCGCCAACGCGUCCUUCACGCAGCCGCCGGGCAACUAUUCUUUCUUCGGCUUCAACAGGAACAUCAGCUUUAUGGGCACCAACAUGGACGAGGUGCUGAACAGCGCGGCGAAUGAUUUCCUCAGCAACCUCGCCGCGAACUGGCACACGAGCAACGCGGCGUGCGUCGAGACGGCCAGCAGCGCUGGCAGCAUGGUACAGCUGCCCUCCAGAACGUUUCUGCGUGCGGAGGGGUCUGGCAGUGGGCGAAGUCACGCGACGCUGAGCAGCAACAGAGAAGGGGAGUGUCGCACCGACCGCGUGGUCGGCGUGGCCAGCCCACUCGCGGUGACAGGGCAAAGCGAGGACCGCGGCGACGUACCGAAGACGCCAUCGCGGCGGCGGGGCGGGGCAAUAAGUCGCAGCCCCUCCGCGCGAAGUCCGCUGGAAGCGCGUGGACCGGGCGAGCCGGCAUCGAUCGAAGGCGGCAACAGUGGGGUGCAGCACGGCGGGACUACGUUGCCGCUGCCGCAGUCACCACCGCCGAAGCCGCUGUCCACCGGGGCGGCGCCCACGGCUGCCUCUCGCUCCACUCACCCUGUCUUGAGCCAGCUGGGUUCCGCCUCGUACACCUCGGACGACGGCACCACCAGCAUGACGCCGCGCGGCGACAGCGUACCGCUUGUGGGGGCUGCCGCGUCAUCGCACCGCCAGCGUCGCGCGCGGCCACCCAUAACAAACCAGUCGUUUUUCGUGGUGGAGGAUGGGUCGUCGGCGCCGCUCUUCUCCCCCCACACUGGCGUCACAAAAUCGACUGGGUCGAUGGCCGGCGGCCCUGUCUCGGCCUCUCGGGUCAGUCUCGCCACGUGGUCAAGCGUCGCCUCCGCAGACGGCAGCGUCACAGGCGGCGUGGCGGGUGAAACGAGCAGCAGCACUCUGCUGCAGCAGAACUACGCAAACGUGGCGGUGGUAGCGCCGGCGCCGGUCUUUCCCACCUUCUCGACGAGCAAUGCGCGAGCCGUGUGGCAGCAGCGGCGGCGCCACGUUGCUGGAGGCGGUCGGGGCGGCGUGGGAGGUGGCAACAUGAGCAAUAUCCACCUCACAGCACCGCCGAGCAACGAGGGCAGCGUCUACCUGAUGGUGGCCGAUGAGCAGCAAGGAGAUGGUCAGCGGUGGCGAGCGGCAGGCGCCUCCGUGAGUCGCGAGGGCAAUGACGGCGACGACGACGACCUGACCAGCGCCGCCUUCGGCUCGAUGCGCUCGGGCUUUUCGCGGCGUUCAUCGGCGCAAAGCACGUCCAACCUCACGGCCGAGACCCUCUCCGCGACUCACGAGCCGGUCUCGGAGCGACGCCCCGCCAGAAGUGGCGACGCUGCCGCAAGCGCCAGCGAAGGCCGUCGCGGCGCCGAAGUAGGAGACGCGCUGCCCUUCAGCAACCUCGCCUCCGAAGCCGACUCGAUGGUUUUCACCUAUCUGCAGCGCAUCGAUGCAUCACUGCAGGAUGUGCUGUCGCAGCUGCAGGUGCGGCGGCGCCAGUGUCGGCGAAAGAGUGGUGGCUCCAUCACUGGGGUGCAGGACGGUUUCGAUCACGCGCCGUCCUCCACCCCCAUCACGACCGUCCAAGCCACACCACCGCAGAGCGCGACGCAACUCACGACCCUUCAGAGCUCCCUCAGCUCUGCCCUGCCCUCGCCUGCGUCUGCCAACAGCACUUCGGAGGUGGCCACCACUGUGACGGUGUCCCCACAGCACCACCGCAGCACUGGAGUCAGCACCUCUCCUGCCAAGCUGCCACGUCCGCUGUCUUCCUGUACGACGCCCGUGACAAUUUCGCAAUCAAGGCAGGGCAAGCCCAACCCGCUCUCGAUGCGAGCAUCGCCGCCGCUUUCGAAGCAGUGCAGCAAUCCUCGGUGGCCAACGGAGGACGAAGCCGAGGCGGAAGGCGAUCCGGUGAACCACGAUGCCACAGUGUGGUUUGACACGCCACUCUCGCCCAGCUCGUCCGGGCACCGCGCCAGCAGCGGCUGCGACGAUGUGAAUGUAGAGGUGCUGCUGCGCAAGAUGCUGUGGCGGGUAAGUCUGCUGUUGGACGAGGUGUCGUCUUUCUCACCGCGGGGGCCAGCGACGGCGAGCGUAGCGCGGCCCCCCUAGACAGAUGCGUGCGUGUGUCUCUCGUGUUGUUGCUCUUCUUCUUUCUUGCUUGGUAUUGCUGCUGCCGUCUUGGCAUUUCCGUUCGCUCACCCCUGUCUGGCUGGGCGCUUGCGCCCACGCGUACGCACAUGGGUGCGUGCGUGUCGUGACCAGUCCCACCACCACCACCCUCCGUGCCGUUCAUCGAGUGCCCGCCUCCGAAUCGACACGCCGACACCCUCCCUUCCUCUUGCCCCUUCGGAGGGGUUUUGUUCGCGUCUUCUCGUCAGCGACACCCGAAGUCAGAUAAAUUAUGUGUGAGUAUGCAGCCGCGCACCGUGCGCGCAAAG